AGAGUUUGAUCCUGGCUCAGGACGAACGCUGGCGGCACGCUUAACACAUGCAAGUCGAACGAGAGAAGAGGAGCUUGCUUUUCUGAUCUAGUGGCGGACGGGUGAGUAACACGUGAGCAAUCUGCCUUUCAGAGGGGGAUACCGAUUGGAAACGAUCGUUAAUACCGCAUAACAUAAUUGAACCGCAUGAUUUGAUUAUCAAAGAUUUAUCGCUGAAAGAUGAGCUCGCGUCUGAUUAGCUAGUUGGUAAGGUAACGGCUUACCAAGGCGACGAUCAGUAGCCGGACUGAGAGGUUGAUCGGCCACAUUGGGACUGAGACACGGCCCAGACUCCUACGGGAGGCAGCAGUGGGGAAUAUUGCACAAUGGAGGAAACUCUGAUGCAGCGAUGCCGCGUGAGGGAAGAAGGUUUUAGGAUUGUAAACCUCUGUCUUCAGGGACGAAAAAAGACGGUACCUGAGGACGAAGCUCCGGCUAACUACAUGCCAGCAGCCGCGGUAAUACGUAGGGAGCGAGCGUUGUCCGGAAUUACUGGGUGUAAAGGGAGCGUAGGCGGGAUCGCAAGUCAGAUGUGAAAACUAUGGGCUUAACCCAUAAACUGCAUUUGAAACUGUGGUUCUUGAGUGAAGUAGAGGUAAGCGGAACUCCUAGUGUAGCGGUGAAAUGCGUAGAUAUUAGGAGGAACAUCAGUGGCGAAGGCGGCUUACUGGGCUUUAACUGACGCUGAGGCUCGAAAGCGUGGGGAGCAAACAGGAUUAGAUACCCUGGUAGUCCACGCCGUAAACGAUGAUUACUAGGUGUGGAGGGACUGACCCCUUCCGUGCCGCAGCAAACGCAAUAAGUAAUCCACCUGGGGAGUACGACCGCAAGGUUGAAGCUCAAAGGAAUUGACGGGGGCCCGCACAAGCAGUGGAGUAUGUGGAUUAAUUCGAAGCAACGCGAAGAACCUUACCAGGUCUUGACAUCGUAUGCAUAGCUCAGAGAUGAGUGAAAUCUCUUCGGAGACAUAUAGACAGGUGGUGCAUGGUUGUCGUCAGCUCGUGUCGUGAGAUGUUGGGUUAAGUCCCGCAACGAGCGCAACCCUUACUGUUAGUUGCUACGCAAGAGCACUCUAGCAGGACUGCCGUUGACAAAACGGAGGAAGGUGGGGAUGACGUCAAAUCAUCAUGCCCCUUAUGACCUGGGCCUCACACGUACUACAAUGGCUGUCAACAGAGGGAAGCAAAGCCGCGAGGUGGAGCGAACCCCUAAAAGCAGUCUUAGUUCGGAUUGUAGGCUGCAACCCGCCUACAUGAAGUCGGAAUUGCUAGUAAUCGCAGAUCAGCAUGCUGCGGUGAAUACGUUCCCGGGCCUUGUACACACCGCCCGUCACGCCAUGGGAGUCGGUAACACCCGAAGCCUGUAGUCUAACCGCAAGGAGGACGCAGUCGAAGGUGGGAUUGAUGACUGGGGUGAAGUCGUAACAAGGUA
rnacentral:rRNA from 1 species